GCCUCUGUGGCUGAGUGGUCAAGCAAAAGCACUGACUCAACCUGAAGGCGCUGGGUUCGGAUCCCAGCCGGGGCG
rnacentral:tRNA from 1 species